CAGCUGUGAUCGGACAUGAAGAAGAGGAAGCUGUAUAGACAAGCUUACCAAACGACAUCCUCAAGAAGGUUUAGCGAUUGGGCCAAAUUGAGAAUCCAACACAGAUCAAGCCCAACAAGCAGAAGAUCCAAGCGCAGACCCAAAACAGUUCACAGUUCCAACGAUCAUCUCCACCUACAAAAGAAGACAAAACCAAAAGUAAAUCAGGAUUGGAUCAAGUGACCAAAACCACGAGCUGUGCUGGCAAAGAUGGAGUGGUUUUACAAAACCGUUUUGACUGUUUAGAAUCAAUAAAGACCUGACAUGUGUCAGAAUAAACCCUAGUGUCACUGACAAUGUAACUCCUGUAAAAGGAAAACAUGAUGUAACCUCAAACCUUAAGGAAAACAAAUAAGAGAAAUGAAACUUAUCUUCUUCAUAUAUAGCCUCUGAGCAUCUUUACUUUCACAGAUUAUUAGGUGAUAAUCGGAUGUUUGGAUCACCUAGUGUCGCCGUUUAGAUUGUUUAGCACUAAAAACAUUUCCGAUAAUGCUUCAAAGUUUGCUCUAAACUCUAUAU
rnacentral:sRNA from 1 species